UGUUGCUGUUGUCUUUGU
rnacentral:misc_RNA from 1 species